GACGAACGCUGGCGGCGUGCCUAAUACAUGCAAGUCGAGCGAACAGACGCGGAGCUUGCUCCUCUGACGUUAGCCGAGGACGGGUGAGUAACACGUGGAUACCGCACUUAACAGUCUGGGAUCACCAGGGGAAACGGGCGAUUAUACGAGAGAAUAUACUGCAGCGCAGGGUUCAAUGGAGAAAUACGGCUUUGCUGUCUCUUAUAGCUGGUUCCCAGCCGGAUUAGCUAGUUGGUAAGGUAACGGCUUACCAAGGCAACGAUGCGUAGCCGACGGGAGAGGGUGAUCGGCCACAUGGGAACGUAGACACGGUCCAGACGCCUACGGGAGGCAGCAGUAGGGAAUCUUCCGCAAUGGGCGAAAGCAUGACGGAGCAACGCCGCGUGAGUGAUGAAGGUCUUCGGAUCGUAAAACUCGGUUAUUAGGUAAGAACAAAUGUGUAAGUAACUAUGCACGGCGUGACGGUACCGAAUCAGAAAGCCCCGGCUAACUACGUG
rnacentral:rRNA from 1 species